GUGCUUACUUCAGGAGCACAUAUACUAAAAUUGAAAUGAUACACAGAGAUUAGCAUGGCCCCUGCGCAAGGAUGAUAUGCAAAUUUGGGAAGUAGUCCUUAUUUAA
rnacentral:snRNA from 1 species